CUGGCUGCUAAUCAACCAAGUUUAAAGACAUGUAGUCAAAUCUAGUUUGAAGAAUGUAGGCUAUCUUUUGAUUGUAAAUUCUAUUGUGAUUGUACGCACUACACAGUGCUACAGGCUACAGGCAUCAUCCCCGGCAAUGUUGGAAUUACUUUUUCUCAAGUUUUUUCCAGAGUUUUUUCUCCUUUGGCCAAUCCUUUACUAUGUUACUGAGACAAGAGAUAAGUUUGGAUUCCCCCUGUUUUUGAUUGCUUGGACUGGUACUGAAGUUCUUCGCUACCUUUACUCAUAGCUUGGACUGUUACUGAAGUUCUUCGCUACCUUUACUAAUUGCUUGAACUGUUACUGAAGUUCUUCGCUACCUUUACUAAUUGCUUGGACUGUUACUGAAGUUUUUCGCUACCUUUACUACAUCUUGAAUUUACUCUCUGGUGUGCAAGCUAUUACAGUGGUGCAGAUAUUCUUUUUCAUUAAUCUUGUAUCCUUUUGGAAUAACGGGUGAGCUUAUUUUCUGUUCUAUGCUCUACCCUACUACAGCAUAACUCAGGAAUUUUAAGUUUUACUACCAAAUAAGUGGAAUUUAACAUUCAACUUCUAAAAAUUUUUCGCGUGAAAUUAGGAUAUGACCUACUCAUCAAACAGAUGAGAGGUCGUUUUGCUGAAUUCACCCCUCUCGGUUCUACGGAACAGCACGUGCGACAAAAGUUGUUCCAAAGAUUCCAUUAACGAACUGGCUUUCUUAACAACGCCGACUGUUACAUCCGGGAAGGUCAACGCCGUCGACCCAAAGAAGAUCCCUCCAACCCAAUCAACGUGACUGACGUAAUCACCCUUGAAGCAGAGAAGAAAUAAAAUCCUCGACUAAUCGAAGGAGCUUUCAAAGAGAGUGAAAACAACGAAUUAACUGGAUUCAAAAGUAUCCGAGAAUCGAUAUCGAAACAUUCAAAAAAAAGUCUAAUUAUCAAGGCCUUGCUCAUUACUGUAUUUGCUGAGGCAAACCCCAAAGAGGAAUGAUCGAAUGCUCAUCUGCAAGGGUAUGAUUCCAUCUUUCGUGUUUAAGAGGAGCGAAACAACAAGGUCCAGGGGCCAAAAACAAGACCAAUGAUGAAGGCAAUGCGAUCUGCAGAAUCAAAGAUGGCCGUUACCUCAGUGACUAUAUUUUUCGUUCAAGACGGACUCGUAUUGUAACGAUCCACUCGCUGCUAGUGACGUUAAAAAAAAAAUCCUGUUCGAUUACCCGAAGGUGAAAUUCUUCAAGGUCUCACCAAGAAGACCAUG